CAGUCGCCACGGUAAUACGUAGGGUGCGAGCGUUAAUCGGAAUUACUGGGCGUAAAGCGUGCGCAGGCGGUUUAGUAAGACAGGCGUGAAAUCCCCGGGCUCAACCUGGGAAUGGCGCUUGUGACUGCAAAGCUAGAGUGCGGCAGAGGGGGAUGGAAUUCCGCGUGUAGCAGUGAAAUGCGUAGAUAUGCGGAGGAACACCGAUGGCGAAGGCAGCCCCCUGGGCCAAUACUGACGCUCAUGCACGAAAGCGUGGGGAGCAAACAGGAUUAGAUACCCGUGUAGUCCCUGUCUCUUAUAC
rnacentral:rRNA from 1 species